AACAGAUAACACUACCAUAUCAUCUCUACUUAUAGAGACAAUCAAUUAGAUUACCAUAAUCCAAUCAUUGAUUAAUAAAGAACAAUGUUUUGUCAAACAAAAUAUUUAUCCAUUUCACAUAGUGACGGAAUUUAGUUCCUUAAAAUUGGAAUAUAAAGACAAUCUAUGUUUUUCCAAUUUCUUUGGUAGUUCAUAUUGAUAGGAGCAUAUUUAUGCGCCUUAGUUAGCUAGUUCUUAUGCAUUUUCGUUAUGUUUUCAUAGUUAAAGUAGUCUUUUGAGCUACUUUCAUGUGUUUUCAGGUUCAAAGGGCAUAUGACAUAAAAGAUGGCAAAUUGGAGUUUUUAGAGCCUAAUGGAGCUUGGUGUGAAAAGUACAUGCUUGGAACACAAGGUUGGGAUGAAAUUGAAGAUUUGAAGAUUUUGAGGAUUCCUAGUACGAGAAGGAUUCCUAGUCCGAGGAAGAGUCCUAAUUGACGAAGGAUUCCUAAUCAACGAGGGAUUCCUAGUUGAAGAUGGAUUCCGAGAAGAACGAAGAUUCCUACUCAAACGAGGUUUCCUACUGGAAGUAGGAAAGCUAAGCCUAAAAGUUUCCAUUUUGGGUUGAUCUUUCCUAAACUUAAAUGGCCUUGCGUUUUAGCAACAUUGGAAGGUUCCGAAGCGUUGGAAGACACGAAGAAUGGUUCUAGAACAUUUUCCUCCUUCUUGCCGUGGGUUGGGUGUAUUUUCUCUUGGUUUUGGGCUUUCUAGAAGCCCUAUCUACAAACCUUAACCCUUUGCCGCACCUAGGCCUCAAAAGUAUCUGAUUUCCUUGCCUUGCAAGGCUUUUUAGAAGCCUUAACCCUAGCCCACCAAACCUGCCGCACCCUAGGCCUUUUCCCAUGCAAUUUCUGAUUGUUUUUAACCUAUUUUCUGGUGGAUUUGGGUUUCUAGAAACCCUAAUCUGAUUGCUAGGGUUUUUAAGUGCCUAUAUAUACUCUUUUAAACCUCUUGGCCGAAUCUAUCACCCCCCAUAUCAUUCAUUCACGCCAGAAACCUUAAUUCCAUCCCUUGCCGCAACCUUCCACCCCCAAAUUCCCAUAUUUCUGCCACAAUCCACCCUUGCCGUGCCUUCCCACCACCAUCACCACCUUGUGCAGCCACCAUUGGAGGAGGAAGAAGUAGUGCCGUGCAGUCCAAAGGAGGAAGACACCUUGCACAUGCAAUCUGCCAUUAGUGGAGUGUUUGGAGUUCU
rnacentral:lncRNA from 1 species